CGAACGCAGUAGCAAUACUGAGUGGCAGACGGGUGAGUAACAUGUGGGAAUCUGCCUUGUGGUUCAGGACAACAUUGGGAAACCGAUGCUAAUACUGGAUAAGCCCUUACGGGGAAAGUUUUAAUGCCAUAAGAUGAGCCCGCAUUUGAUUAGUUAGUUGGUGAGGUAAUGGCUCACCAAGACAAUGAUCAAUAGCUGAUCUGAGAGGAUGAUCAGCCACACUGGGACUGAGACACGGCCCAGACUCCUACGGGAGGCAGCAGUGGGGAAUCUUGCACAAUGGAGGAAACUCUGAUGCAGCGAUGCCGCGUGAGUGAAGAAGGCCUUUGGGUUGUAAAGCUCUUUUGUAGGGGAAGAUAAUGACUGUACCCUAAGAAUAAGGUCCGGCUAACUUCGUGCCAGCAGCCGCGGUAAUACGAAGGGACCUAGCGUAGUUCGGAAUUACUGGGCGUAAAGCGCACGUAGGCCGUUGAGUUAGUUAAUUGUGAAAUCCCAAAGCUUAACUUUGGAACUGCAAUUAAAACUGCUCGACUAGAGUUUGAUAGAGGAAAGCGGAAUACAUAGUGUAGAGGUGAAAUUCGUAGAUAUUAUGUAGAACACCAGUUGCGAAGGCGGCUUUCUGGAUCAACAC
rnacentral:rRNA from 1 species